AUUGAACGCUGGCGGCAGGCCUAACACAUGCAAGUCGAACGAGUGGCGGACGGGUGAGUAAUGUCUGGGAAACUGCACGAUGGAGGGGGAUAACUACUGGAAACGGUAGCUAAUACAGCAUACCAUCGGAUGUGCCCAGAUGGGAUUAGCUAGUAGUGGGGGUAACGGCUCACCUAGGCGACGAUCCCUAGCUGGUCUGUGAGGAUAACCAGCCACACUGGAACUGAGAAACGGGCCCUACUCCUACGGUGGGCAGCAGUGGGGAAUAUUGCACAAUGGGCUCAAGCCUGAUGCAGCCAUGCCGCGUGUAUGAAGAAGGCCUUCGGGUUGUAAAGUACUUUCAGCGAGGAGGCGUUACUCGCAGAGGAAGCACCGGCUAACUCCGUGCCAGCAGCCGCGGUAAUUC
rnacentral:rRNA from 1 species